rnacentral:lncRNA from 1 species
CUCUCUCGCACGAUCUGCUCCCGGACUCCUUCAGCGCGCUGCCUGCCUGCCCAGGGCCUUCCCGGAGAGCAGGUGACGGCGGCCUCCGGGCAUGGAGCUCGCGCUGACGAAAGGUUCUGGAAGCCGCCGUAAAAAGUAAUCAAGAAACGGGUGACAGGACUUUUCGUAAGACAUUUAAUUUUUACCCAGAGUAUCCGAAACAUUGCCGUGUCAAUCUCAGUGCGAUGGGAGACUGCCGGCCCCAAGGAGCUGCUCGUCCUUCUGCCGAGUUCCGGCCCGGACCCGCGGAGGAGGAGACCGCCGCGCCGGAGCUCGGACCUGACGUUUUUGUGAAGCACAGGGGGCGUGGGAGGGACCGGAUCAAUGCGGCACUCAACAAAACCUGUUUUUAAAAGAGUCGUGCUGUGUCGCCCAGGCUGGAGUGCAGUGACGCGAUCUCGGCUCACUGCAGCCUCCACCUUCCGGGCUCAAGCGAGCCUCCCGCCUCAGCCUCCUGAGUAGCUGGGAUUACAGGCACACACCUCCAGCUCGGCUGUUUUAUUUAUUUAUUUUUUUUUUGAGACGUAAUUUAGCUCAUGUUGACCAGGCUGGAGUGCAGUGGCGCGAUCUGGGCUCACCGCAACCCCCGCCUCCCGGGUUCAAGCGAUUUUCCGCCUCAGCCUCCUGAGUAGCUGGGGUUGCAGGCAUGCGCCACCACGCCCGGCUAAUUUUGUACUUAUAGUAGAGACGGGGUUUCUCCAUGUUGGUCAGGCUGGUCUCGAACUCCCGACCUCAGGUGCUCCGCCCGCCUUGGCCUCCCAAAGUGCUGGGAUUACAGGCGUGAGCCACCUCUCCAGGGCCAAAAGCCUUUUAUUGGAGUACUGGGUAACACAUUCAGAAGAGGGUGCAUAGCUUAGGCGCUCCGUGAAUUUUCACAAACUGAACAUACACCCAGGUAGCCAACACCCCCAGCAAGCCCCAGAAUCCCCUCAUGCUUGCUUUCUGCCACUAUCAAGCAGUUUGCUUUCUUUCAGAUUUUUAAGUUUUGAAAUAAUUAUUGAAAUGUACAGGGAGAAGUCUGGGUUGGUGGUUCUAACCUGUAGUCUCAGCUACUAGAGAGGCUGAAGGGGGAAGAUGGCUUUAGCCCUGGAUUUCUAGACUAGCCUGGACAACAUAGCAAGACCUCAUCUCUAUUUGUUUUUGAGACAGAGCCUCGGUCUGUCACCCAUGCUGGAGCGCAGUGGACCUCCGCCUCCCGGGUUCAAGUGAUUCUUCUUUCUCAGCCUCCCGAGUUAUUUGGGAUUACAGGUGUGCGCCACCACGCCCAGCUAAUUUUUUUGUAUUUUUAGUAGAGACGGGUUUCACCAUGUUGGCCAGGCUGGUCUUAAACUUCUGACUUAAGGUGAUCUGCCCGUCUCGGCCUCCCAAAGUGCUGGGAUUACGACGUCAGCCACUGCUCUUGGCCUAUCUUUUUUUUUUUUUUUUUUUUUAAAAGAAAGAGAUGUAUAGGGAGAUCACCCAGUAUCCCUCAGUGUUAACAUCUUGCAUAGCUACAGUUAGCAUAGAAGCCAGGUAAUUGACAUUGGUACUGUACAUGGGACUUACUCAGAUUUACACGUUUUUUAAUGUUUUAUGUGUAUGUAGUUCUCUAUUCUCUACCAUUUUUAUGAGAGUUCCAGUUGCCUUGCAUUCCCACCAGCACUUAGUAUUGUCAGAUUUAUCAUUAUUUAGGUAUUCUGGUAGGUGUAUGGUGGAAUCUCACCAUAGUUUUAAUUUCUUCUCUUUUUUUAAAAAAUAGGAACAAGGUCUCACCAUGCUGCCCAAGCUGGUCUGAAAACUCUUGUCCUCAGGCAGUCCUCCCACCUCGGCCUCCCAAAGAUCUGAGAUUACAGGCAUGAGCCACCACACCUGGCCUUGGUUUUAAUUCCUGUCACAGUAUAUUAGUUUUCGCUGUUGUGUAUUGAUUGAUUGAGACAGGGUCUCGCUCUGUUGCCCAGGCUGGAGUGCAGGGGCAUGAUCCCAGCUCACUGCAACCUCCACCUCUUGGAUUCAAGUGAUUCUCCCGUCUCAGCCUCCCGAGUAACAGGAACCACAGGUGUGUGCCAGCACGCCUGGCUAAUUUUUUUUUUUUUUUUCUUGAGGUGGAGUUUCACUGUUGUUGCCCAGGUUGGAGUGCAGUGGCACAAUCUCAGCUCACUGCAACCUCUGCCUCCUGGGUUCAAGUGAUUCUCCUGCUUCAGCCUCACGAGUUGUUGGGAUUACAGGCGCCCGCCACCACGCCCAGGUAAUUUUUGUUUAGUAGAGACGGGGUUUCACCAUGUUGGCCUGGCUGGUCUCGAACUCCUGACCUCAGGUGAUCCACCCACCUCGGCCUCCCAAAGUUGUGGGAUUGCAGGCGUGAGCCACUGCGCCUGGCCUAAUUUUUCAAUUUUUUGGUGGAGAUAGGGUUUCACCAUGUUGGCCAGGCUGGAGUUUUGCCUGUUCUAGAAGCUUGUAUCAGUCAUACAACACCCCUUUGAGGAACCGUUUGAGGUGUGGCACGAUACAGCAAGUCAGCUGCCAAAGAGGGGCUUAGCCACAGGAAGUGCGUGCCCAGAACGCAUCUCCCGUGUCCCUCACAGCAGUUCUAUGAGGCUGGCUGCCCUGUUUGACAACUGAGGCCCGCAUCUUCCCCGGAAUCACCGACGUGUGGCUCUGAGCCCUGUCCCAGGGAUUUUCUCCAUCAGAGAAGAGGAGCACUUUGAGCUUUGAGAGGAGCAGCCCUCUGCAAGUGAAGUGGAAAAAAAGGAAGCAGGCGAGGAGGCCCAUCCAGACCCUCCCCCAAGACCCUUGCUGAAAUGGCUGGGAUGCGGCGUGCAGAAGCUCUCCUUUCCUUCACAGCCCCUGGCUUUCCAAGAGUCCCUGCCCACCCAGAUGCCCGCUGGCAGAUGCAGCCUCAUCUCAAGGACACUGCUUGCUGGAUAAAUCCCUCACCACCCUAGAGACAGCCCACGGUCCUGAGACAAGGAUGCGGGCCAGGCUUGUUGCACGUAAGCGCCUCCCGCAGAAACCAGUGAGGCCGGAGUUCCAGAGGAAAUGAUGUAGGGACAGAGGCAGAGGGCCUCCAGGAGGCACCAGCCCCAGAGUCUUCCCUAGAAUCAGACUUUAAGCACAAGCAGGGAGGGAAAGCACUUGAGCAGUGCCCGUCCCUGCAUACCUGGCCUCUGCUGGAACCCAUGCAGGGACAGGACACUUCUUUAUCAGCAAUCCUGUUCCUCUCCUGGGCAGCUUCAACCUGAACAUCCUCCUUCACCUUGAGCUAAAAUGGGUUUCUUGUCACCCUUGCCCAUCAAACCUGGCCUUGCCCUCAGGAACCACACAGGACAAGCCUAAUACUUCCUUCUUGUGGCAACACUUUAGCAAUUGAGACCUGGCUGUCAGGUCCUCCAAAUAAACAUUUGUGACUGUGAUGUUGACUUGCCGCUUCUGGGGACCUCUUCUCAUUUGAUCGGAGAAAGUUUUUCAGGGUUAAACCUACUUCUUUCCCCCAAGAAACUCUUCUUGUCAGGCUCACGCCUAUAAUCCUGGCACUUUGGGAGGCCAAGGCAGGAGGAUUGUUUGAGACCAGCCUGGGCAACGUAGGUAGACUAUGUUGCUACAAAAAGAAAAAGAAAAAAUGGCCAGGUGUAGUAGUCCCAGCUGCUUGGAGGCUGAGGUAGGAGGUUUGCUUGAGCCCAGGAGGUCGAGGCUGCAGUGAGCUAUGAUUGUGCCACUGCACUCUAGCCUGGGAGACAGAAUGAGGCCCUGUCUCAAAAAAAAAAAAAAAAAAAAAAAGAUGAUGAAACUCCUCACGUAUUUCUCCCCGGAGCAUGUGCUCCCAGGCUCAAAUCCACAGCAGCCUCGUUACACACACGUCAUCCCCUGGCCCCGAGAUAUUGCACCGCCUUCCCCUUUCUAGCUCUGAACCCCCACAUGAAGCAGCCAGACGUAGGAAAACCCAGAUUCAUAAAGCGCUGAUAUGGGUGGUCCUUUACCAAAGGAUUUUCUGCUUUACAAAGUAAUUCACCAAAUGAUUUCCCUAGAGUAUGGGCAGAGAUUUGCAAACUACAGCUUGGAACCAAGCUGCCUUUUUUUUAUAAUAAAGUUUUAUCAGGAUGCAUCCACAUCCAUUCAUCUCUGUGGUGCCAGCUGCUCUAGCUACACAGGCAGAGUGGAAGAGUUGCAGAUGGCCAACAAAACCUAAACUGUUUACCGCCUGGCCCCUUAUAGAAGCAGCUGGCUGACGCUGGCUCCAGGGCAUCAGAAAUGGGACCAUUGGAAAGGAGUAGCCGGGCUACAUGGUUUUUCUUCUGCCCCACGUCUUGUUCUCAAACAUGCUUCCUCCCCAGUCAUCUGAGGAAUGUCAGUCUGAGACAGUCAGGAGCAGGUGUGCCUAGGGAUGCAUGGUUUCUGAAAAUGGGGUGGGGUCUUUUAGGCUGAGGGCUCUGGCAGCUUCUGUCUGAAGGCUGAGCUGAGCUGAGCAGAGCUGGGCAUGGUGGCUCACGCCUGUAGUCCCGGCUACUCAGGAGGCCAAGGUGGGAGAAUCACUUGAGCCUGGGAAGUUCAGAGGAGCCUGGGCAACACAGUGAGACCUCAUCUUUAUUUUUUGAAAUUUUUUGUUUUUAUUAUUUUUUUAAUUUUUAGGAGCAGAGGGUUAAUAGGCAAAAGAAAGAGAGAGAGGAAAACAGCUCUCUCCAGUGAGAGAGAGGGUACUUCUGAAAGGAAAACGCCACCGGCAGCAGAUGCACUGGAUUUUAUAGUCAGGCUUGAGGAGGUGGUGUCUGAUUUACAUAGGGCUCACAGAUUGGUUCAGUCAGGUAUGAUGUUUACAUAGCGCUGGGGUGUGGGGAAGGCUGACCUCCCCACUCUAAUCUUAUUAUGCAAAUGAACUUUCCCCUUGGCCAGCACCAUCUUGUCUGCUCCUUACUGUGCACGUGGCUGGCAGAGAAGGGAAGAUGGAGCCGCCAUUUUGAACAUGAUUGGCACAACUGCCUGCAUCUAUGUCUGCAGCUCGAUUUUACACGCUGCUCUUUGUUAGAAAGGAAAAUGAUUUGGGGCUGCUUUUCAGUAAAAGGAAAACCUUACUGAGGACUUCUGUAUCCUCACUAUCUAAGUAAUUUCCUCUUAACUCCUGUAUCAUUCCCCACUCUGGAGUGGUAACCCUAACUGCUCUUCGGGGUUGUUUGAUGAUGACUCUUUCUGGCUACUUCAUACUUAAAAGGGGUGUUGUGUGGGGAACAGAAGCUAAGGGCUCCUCCUGGGGUCGAGCUAAGGGUCCUCGGAAAAAAGGCAUGUCCGUGCAUGGUUCUGUCUGCAGCACCAUUUAGAGUUUGAUUACUGUCAGCCAUUCUGAUGGGUUGUAACACUGGUUUGCCUCCACCAGAUGUUGAGAUAGUUUCCAGAUUCCAGAGAAACCAGG